AUUGAACGCUAGCGGCAUGCUUAACACAUGCAAGUCGAACGGUAACAGUACUAGCUUGCUAGUAGCUGACGAGUGGCGGACGGGUGAGUAACGCGUAGGAAUCUACCUUGUAGUGGGGAAUAACCUGGGGAAACUCAGGCUAAUACCGCAUAAUACCGAAAGGAGAAAGGAGGGGACCGUAAGGCCUUUCGCUAUAAGAUGAGCCUGCGUCGGAUUAGCUUGUUGGUGGGGUAAAGGCCUACCAAGGCGAAGAUCCGUAGCUGGUCUGAGAGGACGGCAAGCCACACUGGGACUGAGAAACGGCCCAGACUCCUACGGGAGGCAGCAGUGGGGAAUAUUGGACAAUGGGCGGAAGCCUGAUCCAGCAAUGCCGCGUGUGUGAAGAAGGCCUGCGGGUUGUAAAGCACUUUCAGUGGGGAGGAAGGUCCUGAUGCUAAUAGUAUUGGGAAUUGACGUUACCUACAGAAGAAGCACCGGCUAACUCUGUGCCAGCAGCCGCAGUAA
rnacentral:rRNA from 1 species